UGAAAAACAAUGACGGAGAAAAGUAACCUGGCCAAAGCCUUGUUAGGGAGAAAGUGCCCUGGACUGAAAGCACUUUUAAGGCGGAAGCAGGCGAAGUUCACCUCCUGAGUUGGCACCGGGACCAUUCGCUUUGAAACGGAUGUAAAGGUGCGCCGGCAGAAGCCGUUAUCUCAAUGAAGCGAACACGAAUGGAAGGAAACAUGCGUGUUUACAAGGGUGGUACCGCGAACACAAGCCUCGUCCCUUAU
rnacentral:ncRNA from 1 species